AGACCGAUAGCGAACAAGUAGAGUGAUCGAAAGAUGAAAAGCACUUUGAAAAGAGAGUUAAACAGCACGUGAAAUUGUUGAAAGGGAAGCGCUUGCGAUCAGACUCGCUCGCGGGGUUCAGCCGGCCUUCGGGCCGGUGUACUUCCCCGCGGGCGGGCCAGCGUCGGUUUGGGCGGCCGGUCAAAGGCCCCUGGAAUGUAACGCCUCUCGGGGCGUCUUAUAGCCAGGGGUGCCAUGCGGCCUGCCCGGACCGAGGAACGCGCUUCGGCUCGGACGCUGGCAUAAUGGUCGUAAGCGACCCGUCUUGAAACACGGACCAAG
rnacentral:rRNA from 1 species